AACGAACGCUGGCGGCGCGCCUAACACAUGCAAGUCGAACGUGAAAGAGGGGCAACUCUUGAGUAAAGUGGCGCACGGGUGAGUAACGCGUAGGUAAUCUACCUUUGUGACCGGAAUAACCAGCCCGAAAGGUUGGCUAAUACUGGAUAGAGCGCAAUAGUUGUAAAGACUGAUGCGGGAAAGGGUGGCAGCAAUGCUAUCGCACUGAGAUGAGCCUGCGUCCCAUUAGCUAGUUGGUAGGGUAAAGGCCUACCAAGGCAAUGAUGGGUAGCUGGUCUUAGAGGACGAUCAGCCACACUGGAACUGAAACACGGUCCAGACUCCUACGGGAGGCAGCAGUGGGGAAUCUUGCGCAAUGGACGAAAGUCUGACGCAGCGACGCCGCGUGGGUGAAGAAGGCCUUGGUGUAAGCCUGUCGAGUGGGAAAAUGGCGACAGGCUAAUAAUACGAGUUGUGUUUGAUGGUACACUAGAGGAAG
rnacentral:rRNA from 1 species